UCCUCCCCAUUUACCUGGCAAGAGCCAGGAAGCCUCCCUGUUCUCCGGCCACAGCUGCCACCCAACCCAGCCACUGAACAAGACAAGGACUCUCAUCGCCGUGGUAACCAGACCAGUAUCUUUCUCUUUUUCCUCAUGGAAGUUUGUGGGAUGAAGCCUUUUACUCUCUUUGAACCCCGUGAGUGGUGAGGUCUUUUGUUCUCCACAGGCUUCUCAGAAUCAAGGACAUAGCAUUAAGACAUGUGAAACAAGAGACUCAAUAACUUGGAUAUCUCUGGUCACAGUAGCCACAUUUUGUAUAAUAUUAAAGAUAUAAGACUGGGCUAGAAAAACCUCAGAAUUUCAGAGAAGACCCCAGGUCCCACGAUCUCUGAACAGCGUUCUGCUUAAGCACAUAAUAACAAACUCUUCAUUGUUGGUAUGACAACAGCCCCACCCUUCCCACUUGAAGCCUACUUCUUCCUUCAGAGAAGGACCUGAACAUCUGAUUUAAGAUAUCAGCCAUAGGAGAAUACACUGCAAAGAGGCAGAAAGAAAUGGACUAUGACUUCUAAAGAGAUAAUUAAUACCACAGGAAUAGGCUUGAGUGUGUUGACAUAACUUGUGGCUACUCCUGGUUUCAGAAGGCACUAAGCAACAGAAGAUCUAUCACUGAUGUGAACAGGAGAAAAUUCUUAAGACGUUCACUAAGUAAACUGGCACUUCUACUGCAAAAUUGAAGGUUACCCUGAGAUGCUUCAGAUAUUCUGAAUGGUAACAUAUGGUCUUUGUAAUUGGAUUCCCUCAUUUGCAUAAUGUUUUCAAGAUCAGCUAUUAUUGUAUGUGCUUAGGAAGGCAUGUCCCAGCUAAUUGGACUUGAACUGAUUAUGAAGAUAUUUUGUUAACAGAAUACGUUUUGGAUGACUUCGGCAAGAAUUGCUUCUCUUGAGGUUUCUAGCAAAUGCAGCAAUCAAACUGUGGUCCAGAGUGACGAACUGACCGGUUGUCUUAAGGAAGCUUCGGGAACACGGGGCAAGCCUUGCCUUGUUGAAUCAGUGAUAUGAUACAGAGGUCACAGAAACUUGAACAUGGGUCACCUUCUUGCCUGCUCGCUAUCCCUCUGUCACCUUCAAACAUUUCUGAUGUGAUUUACAAUGGGCAUCAAGACUCACAGAAUUUGUUUCAAUGGUGAUCGGAAGAGGAGCCCCACCCCCACCCCAGCUCUUCAGUGACAGUCACAACCCCACUGCCAGGAUCAAGAACAGAAGCCACAUCUGAUUUUUGUAAUCCCAAAUGCUAAACCUAAGUUCCCCAGAUGUGUCUCAACUCUACGUGAAAUUUGUUCUUCUCAAAUAUGGUCAUUAAAGAAAGACUGGAACUGUUCAAAGCAAGGAGUCCCAAGCCCUGAAGACAGCUUGAAAACAAAGAAGGAAGUCAUGUUUGGCCACAACCAAAAGAACUCACAUACCAAAUGGUUUAAGUUCAACUUGAAAAGGCCACACCAUGGGGCUCGGAUGGUCGCAACAUGGCAACAUAUGUUCUCUGCCCUUGGAGAAAAAGGAGAUCUUACACUGAAAAAGCUCAAGGCCAGUUUUCAACGUGACUACAUGAUCCUGUCAUGCCUGGAGGAAGGUAUCUGAAGAUCGAUUUUACCAGCAUCCCUCUCUGAUGGAGUUUGAAUGACCCUUGGGUGAUUAAUCGCAGCAACUUACAUUUGGAUAUUUUCCAAAUGCUUUCCAGUUUGUUAUCUCUCAUGACCCUUGCAACCACCUCCACAAGAAGAUAAGACAGGUAUUAAUAUGGCUGUUUGACAAGAAGAUAACCAGUUGAAGAGAAUUUAACUAACUGCCCUUCAGGUAAUAGACGUAGUUAAUUGAUAAGGAGGUAGAUGCCCGUGCACAGACAAAAGAGUAUAACUCUGCCCAAGGGCCUUCAGAGGGUUGUUGCAAAAUGGCAGGAAAACUACCCCAGAGUCCAGGGUGUGUAGGAAACUUGACUGAGUUUCCAUGCCAGGCAGGGAGCACCAAGACCUUCCAUUACCUGAUUCUGAGGCUCCUUACCAAUACCUACUGAUUCCUCAACUAAUUAAUUCCCUUCUUCCACUGUGGGCCACGAAUAAACGCAA
rnacentral:lncRNA from 1 species